rnacentral:rRNA from 1 species
GUGACCUGCCCCAUACCGGGGGAUAACAGCUGGAAACGGCUGCUAAUACCGCAUAAGCGCACAGAGCUGCAUGGCUCAGUGUGAAAAACUCCGGUGGUAUGGGAUGGGCCCGCGUCUGAUUAGGCAGUUGGCGGGGUAACGGCCCACCAAACCGACGAUCAGUAGCCGGCCUGAGAGGGCGACCGGCCACAUUGGGACUGAGACACGGCCCAAACUCCUACGGGAGGCAGCAGUGGGGAAUAUUGCACAAUGGGGGAAACCCUGAUGCAGCGACGCCGCGUGAGCGAAGAAGUAUUUCGGUAUGUAAAGCUCUAUCAGCAGGGAAGAUAAUGACGGUACCUGACUAAGAAGCCCCGGCUAACUACGUGCCAGCAGCCGCGGUAAUACGUAGGGGGCAAGCGUUAUCCGGAUUUACUGGGUGUAAAGGGAGCGUAGACGGCAAGGCAAGUCUGAUGUGAAAACCCAGGGCUUAACCCUGGGACUGCAUUGGAAACUGUCUGGCUCGAGUGCCGGAGAGGUAAGCGGAAUUCCUAGUGUAGCGGUGAAAUGCGUAGAUAUUAGGAAGAACAC